CCUCUGGCUCACACAGCUACCCUUUAGCAGUGAAGACGGGCUCCGAUUUCUCCAGCUGAGCAAAGGCAGCGGGCAGCACGUGAUGAAGACAGCCCCUGGGGAAGCUGGCACAGGACUGUCUCUCUCCUCUACAUCACUCCCUUACCCAAACCUUCAGCCUUCCUCUGGCUGCCACGACCGGUGGCCUGGGACACAGCAGCUGCUCCAAGCCGGAGAGACUUUUCUGUUUUGGGGGAAGAAGUGUACAGGCCUGCUGGCUAGAAGGUGGUGCUGGAGAUAGAGCACUUUUCUAACAGAGCGUACAUUAUGCAGCCUGUGAUAAAGGAUUUAUGGAGAAAGGUUAUGGAUGGGCACAAUUUUUAAUUACAGACUCUUCAGCUUUGCCCAACACGCUCUCUGCAACGAAGGAGCUGGCCAGAAACUGCAGAUUUUCAGCUUUACUUUUGUUUCGGUGGAAUUCCAAUUAACUCCAUAUCGAGAAGUGGAGUGGCCAGGGAAGUCAGGUAGCACAUGAGGUUUUCUAAACGUCUGGAAAAAAGUGUGUGUGUGUGUGUGUGUGUGUGUGUGUACACAUGUGCGUGUGCAAAACAGACAGACAGAGAACAUGCAUUAAUGUAUGUCUGUGUGCACACCAGAGGUCUAUGUCUCUAUGGUUCUCCAUGCAUGAAACAAGUCAGCAGGGGAAGUGUGGAGUCUUGCACAUGUGUGUGGAGGCUUGUAUGUGCAUGCACUAAAGAAUGCAUUGCGCACACGCAGACCAAGUGGGUGUGCAGGCCUCCUCAUGCACGUAACCCUUAUCAAAUUCUUACAGCUCUACAAAAUCAAUAGGUAUAUCCUGCAAAAUACAGCACCAGGAAAGCAAUGUCUCAGUAGAGCUGUUUUAAAUUCUACUCAUUAGGUCAUUAAUUGCUGGCUUCAUCAGGCUGCCUACAGACAAAUUGCAAUGGCUUGGUGGAUACCACAUAUUUGAUAGCCAUUUCAGUUUAUUAAUGUCCUCAGAGCCCUGGAGUCUGACAGUAAAAUACUUUUUAAAUGUGCCUUGCAAAGUUUAUUUCUCCUCUAAAAGUGAAAAAAGGUCAGGUGAGACAUCGGCAUCUGACAUCAGUGCUUCUGUGGGAAGUGACAUAAUAUAUGGGCCUAAUACCUUCCACGUUUGCCGAGAGAUACAGAAGAGCAAUCAUUUUCUAAUUUUAUGUAUCAUGGGAAUUUUGGACCCCGAGAUUUGCUGCAGACUUUAGUUUCUCACUCAGGUAAAGUUCUUGGCAGAGCGGAUGUAGGUGGCUAACGUUGUAUUUUCUGUAACCUAGUUGCGUUCCCUUCCUCAUCCCCAUCCCUCUUCUGUUAGCCCCUCGCUCGGGCUGUCUGUAUUUCCUUUCUGGCUUUGGCAUCUUUUUGGUUCAUGAUUUUUAACAUCUACUAAUAAAAUUCAAUCUGCUUCUGCGCGGGAGGGCUACAACCUCCAAACAACCAAGUAAACAGCCGACUGCUACCAGGGAAUGGAGUUUCUCCUUCCACGCACGCAUUAGGGGGCUGUGGUUGAAUAUUGGUGAUCUAAGAGUCCAGCACUGCUCAGUGUUGAUGUGUGAGACAGGGCAGAGGGUGCUGCUAUCACUGGUUUCAAUGGGACUUUUCCCUCUGGAAGGUACCAUCUAUGCAUGCCCAAGCAGGCGCUUGGCCCCAGCAAUGGCAUGCCUAGUCCUUCUAGCGGUAGUGGAAAUAGGGGUGGGUGAGUAGGGGUGCUAACUUAAAGGGGGCACUGGGAUGCCAGUCCCUUGGCUCCCAGACACACAUUACAAGACACUACAUUUGCACCAUCUUUAUUUGACACGUCAUGCAAUGAGGGGUCAGAUUUUCUCCCAAUCGGCCAUUUUUGAAGCAGUUGACAGCCGUGCACUUGUGUUUGAUUGCAGCUCUAAACUGCUUUUUUUUGUGGCCAGAUCAGGCAAAAAUUGUCACUUCUGCCUGUACCUUUGGUGAGUCGGAGCCUACCAGACAACAACACCACAGCAGCAGCCAGGAUCUUUGAGUCCCUGGGGCAGUGUCUAGAGGUGCAAUGAACUCAGCCAGAUGCAAAGGAGAUAUAUGAAACUAAAGCACCAAGUGAGGAUGCUUCCUUGAAGGUGGAGAAGAAAGUCUCUGGGCAUGCCUAGCUUGUUAAAAUCACUGGCAAACAUUGCAAGGAAGACAAGGCUCUUCUCUAAGGUGGCUUUGCCAGGUCAUCACUACUGAAAGACUCCAAUAUCAGAGGCAGGUUACAAUGCCCAAUGUUAGACCAUCAUCUUCCCCACUGAAAACAUUAUACGUGCCCUUCAGGAAGAGCCAGGGUUUUGCAAUGUGCUGGCACUGGCUCCUCUGCUCCCUCCCGAAGGGGGAGAAGUUUGUGGGGAGAGUACAUGGAGGGAAUGCCCUCCCCAAAACCCUAUCAGCAGCGGUGAAAUGAAUACUUCCUUGGACUAUUUCAAAAUAAUCCAGACUAAAAUGAAAUAUUCUAGUUGGCACAAGCCAUUUCUUUUCCCCCACAAUUUGCAAACGUUUUUUGACAUUUCAGCUCCCUGUGAAUCCAGAGCAAGGAUGACAUUUGACAUUUGAAAUCCAAAUUUGAAAUUUGAAAGUUAAAUUUGAAAUUUGAAAUCCAGAGCCAGGAUGAAAUUUGACAUUUUUGAAAUUUUGAAAUUUCAGCUCCACGUCCCUCCCUUCCCUGUGAAUCCAGAGCAAGGGUUCAGGACAGAAGAAAUGAAUUUCUCUGUUGAAGGUCUGCUGAUCCCUGACCGUUUUUCUUUCCCCUUCAGGGAUAAAAAACGUAGCAUCACUGCUGAGAAGGGUAAAGAAAAACCCAAGAAUAUAGGAAGAAAGAUGUUUCUGAUCCUCUGACAACCAGCAUGGAGGGGUGUCAUGUCCUGUCCUUGCUUUCCAGCUGAAUGAAGCAUUAGGGCCUGAAUGCCACGUGCAUGCCAAAACAUUAUUUCCUAAAUGAACUUUGCUGCACCUCGUGGGUUGACUUUUGUCUGCUCGCCUGUGCUAACUGAAUCAUUAGAGAGAGGUGGAAGGGCAAACACCCAAAUAGAGAACCCCAAAAGGUCCCAUGAUAUUAGAUAGUUGAUAGCUGCAGCUUGGUGCCUGGAAUCAGAGUAGAAAAUGGGCCGAUCUCAUCUUAGGGUCUCAUCCUAUGAAGUACCUGCCCCUCCUGCCUGGGAUUAUUACAAACCAGCUUUCUUCCAGCAAAGCCUUGAGGCCUCUGUUCACACAGGGUAGAGAUCUCCUCCAAAGCCUUUGCAUUUUUGCUUUGAGACACAAGUCUUGCUCACAGGGCAUAUUCCACCCUACAAUGCUCACCCUCCCUGUAAUGAAACGGCCUUGAGGAGUUAGAGGGAUGAAAGCAGAAGUAUUAUGGAUAUGAGGAAAGCCCUCAUUCCCUGACCCUGUUCUCCACGUCAAAACUUCAUCCCCCGUGGAGGUGUGCAGGGAAGUAGUUGCCUUCAGAGAACACGCUUCUUAAGCAAAGCUAGGCAGACCUCAUCCAGCCUUUACUUUCACCGAAAACAGCUACUGAGACAUACAGAGACAGUCAAUCCACAGCGGAGAAAUUAAUCCUAAUACCUCUAAUGAAUGAUGGGCACAGAACAAGUGGAAACUUCCCUUGGAGAAUUGGAGAACAAAGAAAGAGUAGACCUUAAGUCAUAAAAGGCAAUGCAAACUCUAUCCCUCCAAAUGGCUGGGAAGCAUGCAGGUACACACGGUGAAGAAAGACACAUUCAGAUCAAGGAACGGUUCGGCAGGCAGUGCUGACACAAGCUUUUCAGAAUAAACGUAUCAGGCAAGUUCAUGCUCCUUGCAAAAUUGAAGAGUGCUUCUGUUAAAUGUGAACAAAAUUGGGUUAUUGGCAAAUCAGUCCAGCUCUCCAUUAGGGAAGAGGCAUCCGUGCUGGAGCUGACUUCUGCUUGGCAAGUCGGUGUUACGGUGUCCUCUCCGGGGAGGGGGAAGGGCACAAAUAGCAGCUUCUCCCUCUCUUAAACACCUCCCUGCAUCAGCUCCUUAUAGUCUUAAACCUCAUGGUUUCUUGUAGUAUUAGCAAACAAAGAAAAUAAUUUGCUUGCAAAUGUCUAGUUGGUCUAAUAAAAGAUAUCACCUCUUC